GUUUGACCUCAAAUCAGGUAGGAMUACCCSCUGAACUUAA
rnacentral:rRNA from 1 species